rnacentral:lncRNA from 1 species
AAGGUUAUUGUACACAGGAAAAGCUCUGAAGGAUCUGUAGUUAAAUAUCUUCUUGAUUUUGGUAAAAGAAGAUUCUUACCUGACAUUGUUGUUCGAUGCGGAACAAUGCUAGAAGAGGCUUCAAAUGAAAGAAAGAGAUAUUGGCUAGAAGAAUCUCACAUGCCCUUGCAUCUUGUGAAAGGAUUUGAGGAGAAAAGAAUUGCUCGUAAAUCUAGCAAGAUAACUGUUGGAAAGCAUCGCGAGACCAAGAGAAUUAUGAAAAAACCUCUGAAGAAAAAGGGCUUCGAAUACCUUUUCCUCAAAGUAUGGGAAGCAUCGUGAGACCAAGAGAAUAAUAAAAAAACCUCUGAAGAAAAAGGGCUUCGAAUACCUUUUCCUCAAAGCAGAGAGAUCAGAGCAUUAUCAGUGUGGGCAUUGUCACAAAGAUGUCCUAAUUAGGUAUGAUGCUUCUUGAUAUUUGUGAAAAGCUCCAGUCAGUUAAUAGCAUGCAAAAAUUUUCUAGCUUACAUGGAUGAGUUAACACUUCUUUCAUAAUCUGCGGAGUUAUGAAAAUGCCGUUUUUGCUAUUUAUAGUAAAUGUGGAUGAGGGUUUUCUGCUGAAAAAGAAAGAGAGUAGUUAGUUAUGGGAAACACAUGUCGUGCAGCAACUUCUGAAUAACCUUGCGAGCUCUAUCUUUUUCAUUCAUUCGCUUUCUUCAUAAAAGUCAUUUAGCAUUUCAGUCUUAGUUUCAG